AACGAACGCUGGCGGCAGGCCUAACACAUGCAAGUCGAGCGAAGCCUUCGGGCUUAGCGGCGGACGGGUGAGUAACGCGUGGGAACGUGCCCUUUGGUACGGAAUAGCCCCGGGAAACUGGGAGUAAUACCGUAUGUGGUCGAGCGACGAAAGAUUUAUCGCCAAAGGAUCGGCCCGCGUUGGAUUAGGUAGUUGGUGGGGUAAUGGCCUACCAAGCCGACGAUCCAUAGCUGGUUUGAGAGGAUGAUCAGCCACACUGGGACUGAGACACGGGCCAGAUUCCGGCGGGACGCAGCAGUGGAGAGUCUUCACCAAUGGGGGAAACUCUGAUCUAGCCAUGCCGCGUGAUCGAUGAAGGACUAGGGUUUUAAAGAUCUUUCUGUGGGGAAGAUAAUGACUGUACCCAAAGAAGCAGCCCCGGCUAACUCCGUGGCAGCCGCCGCCGUAAUAC
rnacentral:rRNA from 1 species